UACAGAGGUCUCAAGCGUUGUUCGGAUUCAUUGGGCGUAAAGGGCGCGUAGGCGGCGGGGUAAGUCGGGUGUGAAAAUCUCAGAGCUCAACUCUGAAACUGCACUCGAUACUGCUCUGCUUGAGGACUGGAGAGGAGACUGGAAUUCACGGUGUAGCAGUGAAAUGCGUAGAUAUCGUGAGGAAGACCAGUGGCGAAGGCGGGUCUCUGGACAGUUCCUGACGCUGAGGCGCGAAGGCCAGGGGAGCAAACGGG
rnacentral:rRNA from 1 species